GGGUUGUGAGGUUAAGCGACUAAGCGUACACGGUGGAUGCCCUGGCAGUCAGAGGCGAUGAAGGGCGUGCUAAUCUGCGAUAAGCGCCGGUAAGGUGAUAUGAACCGUUAUAACCGGCGAUACCCGAAUGGGGAAACCCAGUGUGAUUCGUCACACUAUCAUUAACUGAAUCCAUAGGUUAAUGAGGCGAACCGGGGGAACUGAAACAUCUAAGUACCCCGAGGAAAAGAAAUCAACCGAGAUUCCCCCAGUAGCGGCGAGCGAACGGGGAGGAGCCCAGAGCCUGAAUCAGCAUGUGUGUUAGUGGAAGCGUCUGGAAAGGCGCGCGAUACAGGGUGACAGCCCCGUACACAAAAGCGCAUGUGCUGUGAGCUCGAUGAGUAGGGCGGGACACGUGGUAUCCUGUCUGAAUAUGGGGGGACCAUCCUCCAAGGCUAAAUACUCCUGACUGACCGAUAGUGAACCAGUACCGUGAGGGAAAGGCGAAAAGAACCCCGGCGAGGGGAGUGAAAAAGAACCUGAAACCGUGUACGUACAAGCAGUGGGAGCNNGUGACUGCGUACCUUUUGUAUAAUGGGUCAGCGACUUAUAUUCUGUAGCAAGGUUAACCGAAUAGGGGAGCCGGAGGGAAACCGAGUCUUAAUUGGGCGUUAAGUUGCAGGGUAUAGACCCGAAACCCGGUGAUCUAGCCAUGGGCAGGUUGAAGGUUGGGUAACACUAACUGGAGGACCGAACCGACUAAUGUUGAAAAAUUAGCGGAUGACCUGUGGCUGGGGGUGAAAGGCCAAUCAAACCGGGAGAUAGCUGGUUCUCCCCGAAAGCUAUUUAGGUAGCGCCUCGUGAAUUCAUCUCCGGGGGUAGAGCACUGUUUCGGCUAGGGGGCCAUCCCGGCUUACCAACCCGAUGCAAACUGCGAAUACCGGAGAAUGUUAUCACGGGAGACACACGGCGGGUGCUAACGUCCGUCGUGAAGAGGGAAACAACCCAGACCGCCAGCUAAGGUCCCAAAGUCAUGGUUAAGUGGGAAACGAUGUGGGAAGGCCCAGACAGCCAGGAUGUUGGCUUAGAAGCAGCCAUCAUUUAAAGAAAGCGUAAUAGCUCACUGGUCGAGUCGGCCUGCGCGGAAGAUGUAACGGGGCUAAACCAUGCACCGAAGCUGCGGCAGCGANNGUUGGGUAGGGGAGCGUUCUGUAAGCCUGUGAAGGUGGCCUGUGAGGGUUGCUGGAGGUAUCAGAAGUGCGAAUGCUGACAUAAGUAACGAUAAAGCGGGUGAAAAGCCCGCUCGCCGGAAGACCAAGGGUUCCUGUCCAACGUUAAUCGGGGCAGGGUGAGUCGACCCCUAAGGCGAGGCCGAAAGGCGUAGUCGAUGGGAAACGGGUUAAUAUUCCCGUACUUGGUGUUACUGCGAAGGGGGGACGGAGAAGGCUAUGUUGGCCGGGCGACGGUUGUCCCGGUUUAAGCGUGUAGGUGUGUGUUCCAGGUAAAUCCGGUUCACUUUAACACUGAGGCGUGAUGACGAGGCACUACGGUGCUGAAGUAACAAAUGCCCUGCUUCCAGGAAAAGCCUCUAAGCAUCAGGUAACAUCAAAUCGUACCCCAAACCGACACAGGUGGUCAGGUAGAGAAUACCAAGGCGCUUGAGAGAACUCGGGUGAAGGAACUAGGCAAAAUGGUGCCGUAACUUCGGGAGAAGGCACGCUGACACGUAGGUGAAGUGAUUUACUCAUGGAGCUGAAGUCAGUCGAAGAUACCAGCUGGCUGCAACUGUUUAUUAAAAACACAGCACUGUGCAAACACGAAAGUGGACGUAUACGGUGUGACGCCUGCCCGGUGCCGGAAGGUUAAUUGAUGGGGUCAGCGCAAGCGAAGCUCCUGAUCGAAGCCCCGGUAAACGGCGGCCGUAACUAUAACGGUCCUAAGGUAGCGAAAUUCCUUGUCGGGUAAGUUCCGACCUGCACGAAUGGCGUAAUGAUGGCCAGGCUGUCUCCACCCGAGACUCAGUGAAAUUGAACUCGCUGUGAAGAUGCAGUGUACCCGCGGCAAGACGGAAAGACCCCGUGAACCUUUACUAUAGCUUGACACUGAACAUUGAGCCUUGAUGUGUAGGAUAGGUGGGAGGCUUUGAAGCGUGGACGCCAGUCUGCGUGGAGCCGACCUUGAAAUACCACCCUUUAAUGUUUGAUGUUCUAACGUGGACCCGUGAUCCGGGUUGCGGACAGUGUCUGGUGGGUAGUUUGACUGGGGCGGUCUCCUCCUAAAGAGUAACGGAGGAGCACGAAGGUUGGCUAAUCCUGGUCGGACAUCAGGAGGUUAGUGCAAUGGCAUAAGCCAGCUUGACUGCGAGCGUGACGGCGCGAGCAGGUGCGAAAGCAGGUCAUAGUGAUCCGGUGGUUCUGAAUGGAAGGGCCAUCGCUCAACGGAUAAAAGGUACUCCGGGGAUAACAGGCUGAUACCGCCCAAGAGUUCAUAUCGACGGCGGUGUUUGGCACCUCGAUGUCGGCUCAUCACAUCCUGGGGCUGAAGUAGGUCCCAAGGGUAUGGCUGUUCGCCAUUUAAAGUGGUACGCGAGCUGGGUUUAGAACGUCGUGAGACAGUUCGGUCCCUAUCUGCCGUGGGCGCUGGAGAACUGAGGGGGGCUGCUCCUAGUACGAGAGGACCGGAGUGGACGCAUCACUGGUGUUCGGGUUGUCAUGCCAAUGGCACUGCCCGGUAGCUAAAUGCGGAAGAGAUAAGUGCUGAAAGCAUCUAAGCACGAAACUUGCCCCGAGAUGAGUUCUCCCUGAGACUU
rnacentral:rRNA from 1 species